GGAUGUGGGAUUGCACAGACAACCAGGAUGUUGGCUUAGAAGCAGCCACUCAUUCAAAGAGUGCGUAAUAGCUCACUGGUCGAGUGCUCCUGCGCCGAAGAUUUCCGGGGCUAAAACUUACUACCGACGCUACGGCAUCAGUAAUGAUGGGUAGGGGAGCUUCCCAUACGGGUUGAAGCAUGACCGUAAGGACAUGUGGACAGUAUGGGAGUGA
rnacentral:rRNA from 1 species